UUGAAGGCGACACUCUACUAAACACUACUUGCCAUAACCGACUUGUUUGCAGAAUGCAGUCGGGACGUGAAGAUAAUUUGGAAGUGGUUUGAGCUUGUCUGGCAAAGUUGGUAGCUAGAAGCUUAGUGGGACAAAGAGAAAUCCCUGUAAAAAGGUCGGGUCAACAAACAUCUAACAUUUGCACCGAGACAAGAAAUACUUGUAAUUAGCAACGGACGCGCCGCAAGACCAUAUAAGAGUGAGAUACUGCUUGUUCAUGUUAGAACAUGUUAGAAAGAUUCUAUGAUGUGGAACUUGAGAAUAUUUCCGCUUUUUGUCACCCGAGACUGGCCAGCAGGAGUAAAGCUGUUCUACCCGAAAAAGAGUGGGGUUUUGUGCACGAUUCACAGAUUAUAAUCAAUUUCACGUUCUUAGAAAAAACUUUAUGGGGAAAAUAUUUUGCAGCGAUGAGCACUAAUGGAACAUACAGGAUUGACCAGCUGGAACUUUGAACAGUUGAAAAUUACUCAACUCACCAACCAUGGAGAACAAAUCUGAAUGAUAGACGCUGGAUUCUUUGUUCGAUAAUUCGAUUUCAUCGUUGUACAAGACACGUGCCACGGCUAGACCGAAAUAGGCACCGAAUGUAUGGAUGUACAUAGAUUCCCCAACGUCAUAAGCCUGGAAGAAAAAAGACAUUAUCGAUAACAGAAAGCUGCAAAACAACUACAAAAAACAACAACACAAUGAAACGGCAAUGUAUGGUCAAUAGAAACAAGCACAA